AGCUAAGGCGACCCCUGCAUCACUAGAGACGCUUCCGUGACGCAGAAGCUGCAGACCCGCGACACACACGGGCGUCGCUGUAAGAUGGAUCGACUCAGUUUCUGGAUAACGAACGUAGGCUACGUGUGUUGCGACUUUAUUGGGUGCACUGGGGCAGUUGCGGUACGGAGUGAGGGCGCCUUCUCGAUACCGUCUGUACCCUGUGCGUGCGGCGGGCGUCUGUGGACGUCGCACUCGUUCAGGGGCGUUUCACCACACCAUGACAAACUCGAGCUCAAAGCAUCACCGUUCAGGACGGCCUCGUGCGGAUGUUAUCUCCAAGCAUGCUCGAUAGUUCCGGAGGCAGCGCUCUGGCCUCGCCCACUGCGGUGUCGACGACACCAGAGCAUUCUCCUCGGACUCUAUAGGAUGCUCAGCGCAGCAAAGCGGUUAUGUGGGAAUGGAUAUAUUGACUCUAUUUAUAUCAUAUGGUUUAGUUUCAAUCUGUAAUCUUUGUGACGCCGCCGUCUUGACGCGCCUCGGCGCGGCUCCGACAACUCGGUGCCGUCUUGUUCGAGCUGACUCGUAUUCACCAAUGAGGCUUCGGACGUGGUUAGUUGACGGAAUUAGAAGAAACGCUGCGGCAUGUUGUGCGAUCUGCCGAGCGGGGCUUUUUUUUGGGUGAAGGACCUCUGUGUCGUUUAAACGAUCCUUUUCCCAAAGGAAAGUCUACGCGGAUCCGCAACCAGCCCGUGGCAGUCGCCUUGUCCGUGGACGUAUUCACCACGAGAACAUUGGCUACCGACGCCAGCACACACUCAAUAAGCUAAUGUUGCUUUUUUCGCGCCCAACAGAACGUAAGUAAACUGGAAUUGCUCCGGACGCAACGGAUCAACUCGGGGAAGACUCUGCUAAGCGUUCCUCGUUAUCAGAGCGCUACGUACGGUUUACGGGAGGGUCCUGGAUUAGCCCCUAAACCAGGCUCGGUGCGAACAGGUGCGCCCUGAUUCGAUGCCAGCCGUUUGGCUCUGGGUGAAAGUCCCCGGACAGUAGGUCAGAGAGUGUCGGUGGUAAGCAAAGCUGGGCGUUUCAGGUCGCGCACACUUCUGCUCGCGGGACUGCAACCACAGAACCCCAAUAAGAGCGGGAGUGCUGCGCGACAGUGAACGUCGCUUGUCGAUGGUGCAGCGCUGGAACCUGCUGCCGCGUUGGGGUGCUUGCGCCCCAUGUUUGGCAGCGGCAGCCUGCACUGAAUCAGCAAUGGAACGAGCGAGAGCGACCGUCCUUCAUGGACGGCGACUCGUGAACACAAUGGGGCUUACUCUGGCAGUGUGCUCCCUAUGUUGGCCAUUCGAGACGGAACCGGUUAUGUCGCUACCAGCAACUGUCUCAGUGUCGUGAGACGCGCCCCGGUCGAUGGGCGUAUUCUUCGAGCAGCGGCCAGCUGUAGUGCCUGGACCUGCCAGUCGCUUGCAACUGGUCGCCAGCGUACGCUCAUCAAAACGGUGGCGUCCCCGCGACCUGCUUCAGUUCCUUGGACCAGAUUACUAACCUUUUUUUAGCACUGAUUUGACCAGAUUCAGGAUCGCAGUUUCCACGCCUAGUCGUGGAGGCAGCAGAAUUUCCCGUCCAGCUUGACGCCGCGCAUAGCGAUGAGGCAUGUUAUCCACGCAAAUCGAACUCGUGACUGAAGCGAAGAUGCUGUAGGAAGCAGAGGCUGUAGCACGAGCUGCCAAGACCGUGCCUGUUGUGGCAACAGCCAGUGUGGACAUUCAUACACCUUUGGAAGAGAACUCCGUCGUCUGUGUUUCUCUCGUGGAACAGGCGAUCACGGAUUUCAAGCUCACAGGCAAAACAGCCCCCAAGAUAUCCUGUUUAGAGCGUCCGCGAAUGCGCACGUAUUCCAUAGCCGCUAUGCACUAGCAACAAAUUGUGAAAGCUAUUCAAGCCUAGAAGGCUAUGGUCACAGGAAACACCCGGAUUCGAAUCGCAACGCGAGUCCCCGGACCCACGAGCAAAGCACCCGCACUGAGAUCCAUCACAUACCAUUGUGAAGAUUCUCUGGAUGACUCGAGUUGUGCCUCUGCAUCCCUGCUGACACCUCGGCAGUCUGCAUGCAAAGCAGUCUUCGACUCCGCGAAGCAAUCGUCAUUGGCUGUACUUCAGAGCGCAUGGACUUGCGCUACGCACAGGCGCUCAUCUGCAGCUUGGAGCACUCUAUACGUCGUGCCUCAAGGAACGAGCUCCGAGUGCGGGUUCAGUCGAGUUGGCGAGCGGGUUUCAUCGAUACCAACGCGCAAUUCCCGCGACAAGUUUCCAGUAAGAGGCGGGCCGCCAUACAAAUCACCUAAAUACGCCUUGUACGCUGGCAUAAACUUAUCGACAAACGCGUAGACCUGCUCAUCGGUCAUGGCUGGUCGCCCUGCAGCCCGCAUCUGCUGUUCAGCCUCGAGGCGCCACUGGUACACAAUCCGUAAGGAUUCACUUAAUUUCGGACCAUCCAAUGCAAUGACAAUAAAUGCAUCCAAGAGCGGGUAGAGCCGACUAAAGUCUUCCGCGAGGAAUCGAUCGACUUGCAUCAAAUGACGCAAGGUAAUCGGGUCCAUUGUAGCAGGUCGCUCGUGUAGCGCCAGCGGUCGGAAUCCGAGGCACCAGCCCUCCAGGAAGACGACAUCAACAGGCCGGCUCACAAGGGGCCACUGCUCUGGCGGAGCACGAUCGCCCAGUCCUUGAAAGGCGGACUUGUCGUAACGCGGCACCGCAACCUCUGCAUGUUCCCCUGGAUACGGUGCAGCUACCACCUCGUUCAAAACCUGCAGCGCAAGCGAGAUAUCGUGCGUCCCCGGGUUGCCUCUUGAGCCCAGCAGCGGAUUCUCGGGAAACGCUCUGGCUAGUGCCUCCUGCUCGCGACGAGUUAGAUAAAAAUCAUCGAUGCUGAGAGAUACACACCGACGUUGCUCG